GACAGAGGUGCCAAGCGUUAGGCGGAAUCACUGGGCUUAAAGCGUGUGUAGGCGGACUGGUAAGUACCUUGUGAAAUCCCACGGCUUAACCGUGGAACUGCUUGGUAUACUGCUUGUCUUGAGCCACUUAGGGGCAAUCGGAACAAACGGUGGAGCGGUGAAAUGCGUAGAUAUGUGGAGGAAUACCGAUGGCGAAGGCAGCCCCCUGGGAUAACACUGACGCUCAUGCACGAAAGCGUGGGGAGCAAACAGG
rnacentral:rRNA from 1 species